CCUACGGGUGGCUGCAGUGGGGACUAUUGGACAAUGGGGGGAACCCUGAUCCAGCGACGCCUCGUGAGUGAAGAAGUAUUUCGGUAUGUAAAGCUCUAUCAGCAGGGAAGAAAAUGACGGUACCUGCCUAAGAAGCCCCGGCUAACUACGUGCCAGCAGCCGCGGUAAUACGUAGGGGGCAAGCGGUAUCCGGAUUUACUGGGUGUAAAGGGAGUGUAGACGGUGCAGCAAGUCUGAUGGGAAAGGUCGGGGCCCAACCCCGGGACUGCAUGGGAAACUGGCAAACUGGAGUGUGUGAGAGGUAAGUGGAAUUCCAGGUGUAGGAGUGAAAUGCGGAGAUAUCAGGAGGAACACCAGUGGCGAAGGCGACUAUCUGGCACAUAACUGACGCUGAGGAGCGAAAGCGUGGGGAGCAAACAGGAUUAGAUACCCCGGUAGUC
rnacentral:rRNA from 1 species